GGCUUGAGGACCGUAUUCAUGGAAGAGGAUUGAACAGACUACUGAGUUCUUAAGAGAAAAAUGGCACUUAAGAAAUUGAUGGUGAUAUCAAAGGAAGGUUACUUAUUACUCUUGGACUUUGAUGAUGAGGACGAUGACAUAAAAGUUUCAGAGGAGGCUCUUGCGGAAGAGAUGAAGUAGACAGUAUGUUGGAUAAAUCUGGAGUAAAGAACCCAGCAAUUGGUAAAGAUGAGAAUAUAUCGCCUCAAGUAAAAGGAGAUGAAGACAUGGGAGAUGAAAUUGACAGUAUGUUGGCUACAUCUGGAGGUCUUUUCUCCUGAGAACACGGGACUCCAGCAUCUUCGGAUUCUGCUCUUGGAGGUGUGAGUCCCUGCCUCUCUGCACAGGGGAACUUAUGUCUCUCCACAUGUCCGCAAAUGUCUACCCAAGAUUAUACAUCUUCCAAAGGCUUUCAAAUACUUCUUUACAUAANCAAGAUGUGUGCAGCUGAACAGAGCGUUGAGGANACGUCAGUGAUUUUAUAACUACUUAUCAUGUUGGGAGAUUGUUGUGAUGAUUGCCUGGACUCUCAGNUGUUACACAGGCUGCAUCAUUGGACUGAAAGUGAAUGGCCCAUGUGUUGCCACUGAUGUGAGCCAUUUGCGAAGCCG
rnacentral:precursor_RNA from 1 species